rnacentral:rRNA from 1 species
AGCGGCGGACGGGUGAGUAACACGUGGGCAACCUGCCUCAUAGAGGGGAAUAGCCUUCCCGAAAGGAAGAUUAAUACCGCAUAACAUUGUUGAAAGGCAUCUUUUAACAAUCAAAGGAGCAAUCCGCUAUGAGAUGGGCCCGCGGCGCAUUAGCUAGUUGGUGAGGUAACGGCUCACCAAGGCGACGAUGCGUAGCCGACCUGAGAGGGUGAUCGGCCACAUUGGAACUGAGACACGGUCCAGACUCCUACGGGAGGCAGCAGUGGGGAAUAUUGCACAAUGGGGGAAACCCUGAUGCAGCAACGCCGCGUGAGUGAUGAAGGUCUUCGGAUUGUAAAGCUCUGUCUUUAGGGACGAUAAUGACGGUAGCCGAGGAGGAAGCCACGGCUAACUACGUGCCAGCAGCCGCGGUAAUACGUAGGUGGCAAGCGUUGUCUGGAAUUACUGGGUGUAAAGGGAGCGCAGGCGGGGGAGCAAGUCAGCUGUGAAAUAUACGGGCUUAACUCGUAGACUGCAGUUGAAACUGUUCUUCUUGAGUGAAGUAGAGGUAGGCGGAAUUCCGAGUGUAGCGGUGAAAUGCGUAGAGAUUCGGAGGAACACCAGUGGCGAAGGCGGCCUACUGGGCUUUAACUGACGCUGAGGCUCGAAAGUGUGGGGAGCAAACAGGAUUAGAUACCCUGGUAGUCCACACUGUAAACGAUGAUUGCUAGGUGUGGGGGGUCUGACCCCUUCCGUGCCGCAGUUAACGCAAUAAGCAAUCCACCUGGGAAGUACGACCGCAAGGUUGAAACUCAAAGGAAUUGACGGGGGCCCGCACAAGCAGUGGAUUAUGUGGUUUAAUUCGAAGCAACGCGAAGAACCUUACCAGGUCUUGACAUCGAGUGACGAGUUCAGAGAUGAGCUUUUCCUUCGGGACACGAAGACAGGUGGUGCAUGGUUGUCGUCAGCUCGUGUCGUGAGAUGUUGGGUUAAGUCCCGCAACGAGCGCAACCCCUGCCAUUAGUUGCUACGCAAGAGCACUCUAAUGGGACCGCUACCGACAAGGUGGAGGAAGGUGGGGACGACGUCAAAUCAUCAUGCCCCUUAUGACCUGGGCUACACACGUAAUACAAUGGCCGUUAACAGAGGGAAGCAAAGCCGCGAGGUAGAGCAAAACCCUAAAAACGGUCUCAGUUCGGAUUGCAGGCUGCAACUCGCCUGUAUGUAGUCGGAAUCGCUAGUAAUCGCGGAUCAGCAUGCCGCGGUGAAUACGUUCCCGGGCCUUGUACACACCGCCCGUCA